rnacentral:rRNA from 1 species
AAUAUUGGACAAUGGGGGCAAUCCUGUUCCAGCCUUGCCGCGUGUGUGAAGAAGGUCUUCGGUUUGUAAAGCACUUUAAGUUGGGAGGAAGGGCUUUAGGUUAAUACCCGUAAUUUUUGACGUUGCUAACAGAAUAAGCACCGGCUAACUCUGUUUCAGCAGCCGCUGUAAUACAGAGGGUGCAAGCGUUAAUCGGAAUUACUGGGCGUAAAGCGCGCGUAGGUGGUUCAGUAAGAUGGGUGUGAAAACCCCGGGCUUAACCUGGGUACUGCUUUCAUAACUGCUGAGCUAGAGUACGGUAGAGGGUAGUGGAAUUUCCUGUGUAGCGGUGAAAUGCGUAGGUAUAGGAAGGAACACCAGUGGCGAAGGCGACUACCUGGACUGAUACUGACACUGAGGUGCGAAAGCGUGGGGAGCAAAC